rnacentral:rRNA from 1 species
GAUUAACGCUGGCGGCAUGCCUAAUACAUGCAAGUCGAACGGAAGCAGCAAUGCUUUAGUGGCGAACGGGUGAGUAACACGUAGGGAACCUACCUAUACGACGAGGAUAACUACUGGAAACGGUAGCUAAAACUGGAUAGGAUCAAUUGAGGCAUCUUGAUUGAUUUAAAGAUCCUUCGGGAUUACGUAGAGAUGGCCCUGCGGCGCAUUAGCUAGUUGGUGAGGUAACGGCCACCAAGGCGACGAUGCGUAGCUGAGCUGAGAGGCUAAACAGCCACACUGGGACUGAGACACGGCCCAGACUCCUACGGGAGGCAGCAGUAGGGAAUUUUCGGCAAUGGGGGAAACCCUGACCGAGCAAUGCCGCGUGAACGAUGAAGGUCUUCGGAUUGUAAAGUUCUGUGAUUGGGGAAGAAUGGUAUUCUUAGGGAAUGAGGAGUACAUGACGGUACCCGAUUAGAAAGCCCCGGCUAACUAUGUGCCAGCAGCCGCGGUAAAUA